GUGUGUGAACAACUCGCAGCCACAGUUCAAGGCUACAAACCUUUGCAGAUGGCACUUUUGCUACAGGGCUCUCUGGCCGGGGACAGCCUGCCUCUGUACUGGCCCGGGGCUAAGGCAGGUCACUCUGGAGCCCUUUCCAACACAGAGGAGGGCCUUCAAGGGCCCUGCUUGUCUCAGGCUUGGCCUUAGUUGUUCACACACACGAUGUGAACGCAGAGAGCAGGUCAACACAAGUUGUUUGCUGAAGUCAAAGACGGGAGGCGGGCUCCCUGGCACCGGCGGCUUGUCUUUCCCUGUCAGUGCGCUCCUGAGACUGCGGGUAACGAGGAAAAAGUCCUGAAUGGGAACUGACGCUUUUGUCGCCUUGAUUUUAGGUCUGCAGAUCCAGAAAGAAAGUGAUUUCUUCAUUGAGACUGAGACACCCCCAGGGCAGUCUCGAAUCAGCAGUUUCCCUAGUGAGUUGGGCAAGGCGUGCGUGUGCGCCUGUGCGUGCUUUGAAGAAAACCCAGGUUCUCUGCAAAAAAGAAGAUCCGUCUUGAUGGCCCAAGAAGGUGGCUGGCGGCUGAGAGAGCUUCUGGAGCUGGAACGAAGCUUCAGAACCACACACCCAGCACAGACGUGCUCCAGGACACAGACCCGUCAAGAGAGUUUCCUUUUUUCAGGGAACCUGGGUUUUCUUCAAAGCAGGGAAAAACGUUCUUUUCUUGCUUCCUAGAAAUCAGAGGCGCUGUGGGCUGAGUCUCUACUUUGCUGAUAUUCUAGGAUCCAGCAUCUGAAAAGCCCUUCUCCUCUUCAAGUGCGUGAUUCAUUCCCAGGAUGGCCACAUAGGCACAUGCUCGAGUGUGGGAUACAGCUCACACAUAAUCCAUUUCGUCAGCAGCAUCUUUCCAUUCCUUGGAAAAGACAAAAGAAUGACCUCAUCUCAUCGGGCACGUGGAGGACACUCAGGGAGCUUUGACGACCAGCCUGGCAUCAUGAGCCCUUCAGUGGCGGAGUGGGGCAUGAGCCCAGCAGUCUCCACUGUGGCCGGAUCAGGUCCAGGGUCACUGACCCCACAGCCUUGGGCACCUUGCCUAACCUCAAGCACAUCUGGGAAUUCACCCAUCCCCCUCCUAGACAUCUAGAUGUGCCCUUGUGUUCCCCACCUGAGAAUGUCCCCUUCCUUCUCCUUCAGCCUUGAAGACGGCCACUGAUCCAGGCAGACAACUUGGCGUUCUGGGCACCAGGUGGGCCUGGGGGAGUUAAUCAUCAGGGCUUGGCCAGGUUAGCAUCAUAGCAGAGUGGUAGGUGAGUGGAGGCCGGGGCCCCAAGCCGAAGACCACAGGCACCAGGACCUGCCAAGUCCAAGGCUGAUCAGUCGUGCCCAGCAUUCCCCCGGCCUCAAUGCAGAGCUGGCCAAGGCACCGGCUGGGGACAGAGUGGGCUUCCCCCAAAAGCAAGGCUGCCAGUGGACUAGGUUGCUGGGGGCAGGAGGAGCGCCACGGUCUCCCCCCAACCCCUGCCGUGAACCGUGAACUCACUGUUUGGGCCACUUCUUACGGGAAGCAACACCCCCCUCACAUUCUUUUUGCCACAGCGGGGCUAGUGGCCAACUCCUUCUCUGAGGCCUCCUUGUCCGAAGCCCGGGCAGCUCCCGCAGAGGCAGACGACUCGGGCGUGCGGACAGUGCCCGAUUGAGUGCCCCGCUGCCCACUGGGCCCCGGCCAGCAGUCCUGGGGAACGUGCGGCCGCCGGCGCCCUGGGCAGGGGCAGGCCGGGCAGACCCGGCUUAGCGAGAUCCCUGAUGUUGCGGUUACCCUGGCCCCGUGAGUGCCGACCACAGGGUGCCCGAGAGGAUGCUGCAAACCCCAAAUCCGGCAGUGGAGGCAAAGGGGGUGGGGGGGGAUGUGGCAGCCCUGCGCCAGGCCAGGCACCCGCCCUGCCCUCCCUUCCUGUUCCUCUCGCGGCACACCCCAUCCGGAGCAUCCCGCUUUUUCCAGAGCUGGGCUGAACGGGCUUGUUUCUGUACUGACGCUCUCUCUCACCCCCUGCACAGCUUUGAUGACAAGUGGCCCUUUUUCUGUGCCGUGCGCUCGCUCAGACCUGUGCGUGCGGUGUCCCUGCCAGGAAUGAGUGCCCCAGGCACAAGGUCGUCCCCCCACCCCCACCCCGCUUCCGGGACUCCCUUCCUGUCCCUUGUCACACAGAAUUCCCUUCUCAGGGCCACCCCAUCUCCCGGAUCGAUGCCUGUGUUUCCUUCCUCACUUUAGCUUCUCCCCCUAGGCACUGGCUGUUACUUGACAUACUGCAUAUUUUGUUGUGUGUGUUUUGUUGCUAAAACUCUCCAGGGCAAGGAUUCUGUCUAGUUUGCCAUUGUAUCGGCUGUCCCUAGAAACACAGCUGGCAGAAAGUAAACAAUCACAAAUAUUUCUGGAUGAGGGCAGGUGUUGUGGUGCCUCCUGGGCCUCCCACAUCCUACAUUGGAGUCCCUGAUUCAAGUCCUGGCCACUCCGCUUCUGAUCCACAUACCUGCUGAUGCGCUUGGAAGCAGCAGAUGAUGACCAACUACUUCAAUGCCUGCCACCCACAUAAGAGACCCGGAUGGAGUUCCUGGCUGCUGACUUGGAACUAGCCCACACCCAGCUAUUGUGGCCACUUGGAGUGUGAACCACCAGACAGAAGAUGGAUCCUUCUCCCUUUCAAAUAAAUAAAUAAAUAUUUAAAAAUAUUCCUGAGGUUGGAGGGGAGGCAUGGCACUGUGGUAUAACAUGUUAGGCCGCUGCCUGUGACGGCGUCGUCCCAUAUGAUUUGAGUCCCGGCUGCUCUACAUCCCAUCCAGCUCCCUGCUACUGCACUUGCGAAAGCAGCAGAGGACAGCCGGAGUGCUUGGACCCCUGCACCCACUUGGGAGACCCAGAGGAAGCUCCUAGCUCUUGGCUUCAGCCUGGCCCAGCCCUGGCUGUUGCAACCAUUUGGAGAGCAAAUCCGUAGAUGAAAGAUCUCUCUCCUUCUGUUUUUCCCUCUUUCUCUCUCUGUA